UCGCGCGGGCGCUUCCACCAAUUCUUCCUCCUUCCCUGCCAGUCACUCCUCAGACCCUCAGCCACACCCUCUCAUCCAGGGCGAGGGAAAGCUCGGGGCAUUUUCCCAGUGUGCUCUGCGGGAGGGCUCGCCCCACUUCACCCCUUUUCCCGCCCUCCUCCCAUUCGGGAGACUACGACUCCCAGUGUCCUCCGCGCGACGGCGGCGGUGCGCACUGUGCCCAGGUCCCGCCCCUAGGCUCUGCCCCGCCCCCGCCCGCCGACGUCUGCGCGCGAAUGCCGUGGCGCGAACUUGGGACUGCAGAGGCGCGCCCGGCGGAUCUGAGUGUGUUGCCCGGGCAGCGGCGCGCGGGACCAGCGCGAGGAGCAGCUGACAGACGAAGAAAAGUGCUGGACAGGAAGGGAGAAUUCUGGCGCCAACAUGCAGCGAAGUAUCAUGUCAUUCUUCCACCCCAAGAAAGAGGGUAAAGCGAAGAAGCCUGAGAAGGAGGCAUCCAACGGCAGCAGAGAGACGGAGCCCCCUCCGAAGGCGGCACUGAAGGAGUGGAAUGGAGUGUCCGAGAGUGACUCUCCAGUGAAGAGGCCAGGCAGGAAGGCGGCCCGGGUCCUGGGCAGCGAAGGGGAAGAGGAGGAUGAAGCCCUUAGCCCUGCUAAAGGCCAGAAGCCUGCCCCAGACUGCUCACAGGUCUCCCCGCCCCGUCCUGCCACAUCUCCUGAAAACAACGCUUCCCUCUCUGACACCUCUCCCAGGGACAGCUCCCCAUCAGGGAUCCCGAAGCGUCGCACAGCUCGGAAGCAGCUCCCGAAACGGACCAUUCAGGAAGUCCUGGAAGAGCAGAGUGCGGACGAGGACAGAGAAGCCAAAAGGAAGAAGGAGGAGGAAGUGGAUACCCCAGAAGAAAGCCUCACAGAGGCUGAAGUGGCAACAGAGAAGGAAGGAGAAGACAGGGACCAGCCCACCACACCUCCCAAGCCCCUAAAGACCUCCGAAGCAGAGACCCCGACGGAAAGCGUUUCGGAGCCCGAGGUGGCCACGAGGCAGGAACUGCAGGAGGAGGAAGAGCAGACCAAGCCUCCCCGCAGCGCUCCCAAGACACUCAGCAGCUUCUUCACGCCCCGGAAGCCAGCAAUCAAAAAAGAAGUGAAGGAGGAGGAGCCAGGGGCUCCAGGAAAGGAGGGAGCUGCUGAGGGACCCCUGGACCCAUCCGGUUACAAUCCUGCCAAGAACAGCUACCAUCCCGUGGAAGACGCCUGCUGGAAACCGGGCCAGAAGGUCCCUUACCUGGCUGUGGCCCGGACGUUUGAGAAGAUCGAGGAGGUGUCUGCCCGGCUCCGGAUGGUGGAGACACUGAGCAACUUGCUGCGCUCCGUGGUGGCCCUGUCACCUCCAGACCUCCUCCCGGUCCUCUACCUCAGUCUCAACCACCUUGGGCCACCGCAGCAGGGCCUGGAGCUUGGCGUGGGUGAUGGCGUCCUUCUCAAGGCAGUGGCCCAGGCCACAGGUCGGCAGCUGGAGUCCGUCCGGGCUGAGGCAGCCGAGAAGGGCGACGUGGGGCUGGUGGCCGAGAACAGCCGCAGCACCCAGAGGCUUAUGCUGCCACCACCUCCGCUCACUGCUUCCGGGGUCUUCAGCAAGUUCCGUGACAUCGCCAGGCUCACUGGCAGUGCUUCCACAGCCAAGAAGAUAGACAUCAUCAAAGGCCUCUUUGUGGCCUGCCGCCACUCAGAAGCCCGGUUCAUCGCCAGGUCCCUGAGCGGACGGCUACGCCUUGGGCUGGCAGAGCAGUCGGUGCUGGCCGCCCUCUCCCAGGCUGUGAGCCUCACGCCCCCAGGCCAAGAAUUCCCACCAGCCGUGGUGGAUGCUGGGAAGGGCAAGACAGCAGAGGCCAGAAAGACGUGGCUGGAGGAGCAAGGCAUGAUCCUGAAGCAGACAUUCUGUGAGGUGCCCGACCUGGACCGAAUUAUCCCCGUGCUGCUGGAGCACGGCCUGGAACGUCUCCCGGAGCACUGCAAGCUGAGCCCAGGGAUUCCGCUGAAACCAAUGUUGGCCCAUCCCACGCGGGGCGUCAGUGAGGUCCUGAAACGCUUUGAGGAGGCAGCUUUCACCUGCGAAUACAAAUACGAUGGGCAGAGGGCGCAGAUCCACGCCCUGGAAGGCGGGGAGGUGAAGAUCUUCAGCAGGAAUCAGGAAGACAACACUGGAAAGUACCCGGACAUCAUCAGCCGCAUCCCCAAGAUUAAACUCCCAUCGGUCACAUCCUUCAUCCUGGACACGGAAGCCGUGGCUUGGGACCGGGAAAAGAAGCAGAUCCAGCCAUUCCAAGUGCUCACCACCCGCAAACGCAAGGAAGUGGAUGCGUCCGAGAUCCAGGUGCAGGUGUGUUUGUACGCCUUCGACCUCAUCUACCUCAAUGGAGAGUCCCUGGUACGUGAGCCCCUUUCCCGGCGCCGGCAGCUGCUCCGGGAGAACUUUGUGGAGACGGAGGGCGAGUUUGUCUUCGCCACCUCUCUGGACACCAAGGACGUCGAGCAGAUCGCCGAGUUCCUGGAGCAGUCGGUGAAAGACUCCUGUGAGGGGUUGAUGGUGAAGACCCUGGAUGUCGAUGCCACCUACGAGAUCGCCAAGAGAUCGCACAACUGGCUCAAGCUGAAGAAGGACUACCUUGAUGGCGUGGGUGACACCCUGGACCUGGUGGUGAUCGGCGCCUACCUGGGCCGGGGGAAGCGGGCCGGCCGGUACGGGGGCUUCCUGCUGGCCUCCUAUGACGAGGACAGUGAGGAGCUGCAGGCCAUAUGCAAGGUCCUGGGGGACUGGGGCUGACCGCAGAAGCAGGAGGGAAGGAGAUUAGACUCCCGGGGGGACUUCCUAUUGCACAACCCAGACCUAGGGACACUCACAUCCCCCUGUGAAGGAUUCGUUCUCCCCAGUUUUUAUUUACUUUUUCUGGUUCUAUAAGUAACUCUUGCUUCAUAUAGAAAAACGGGCUGGGAUAGAAAGGUGUCAGGAAUGUGUGUCAGUGAGAGAUGGAGAUUAGCUACAAAUAGUGGUGGCUCACACUAAGAAAAGGAUUUUUUUCCUUAUGAAAUGAGAAGUGUGGAGGGGGCAGUCCGAUGCCAUUAGGGAUUCAGGUUCCUCCUCUCUCUCCCCACAUUAUUUUUUGUCAUGUGCCUCUGGCCUCAUCAUCACAAUGUGGCUGCAGGAGUUCCAGCCCUCAUGGCCAUGCCUGCUCCACGCACCAGGAAGGAGCAAAGUGGGGUGGACCAUGAGUCAGCCUCGUCCAACACCUUCUGCUCAGGUUCUGUUGCUCAUCACUUUGCUCCAUGGCUCACCCCUAGCUGCAAGGAAUUCUGGGAAAUGUGAAGUGAUUUUUAUUUUUUUUCAAGUUAAAGUUUUUCUUAAAGCUGUGCACAUUUUGGACUAGAUUUUCUUAAUGUAUUUCCUAUACUCCCCUCUCCAGCAAAUUUGGGUCUUUUGCCACAGAAGCAGAACAAAAUAUCACCUAGAAUCCCACCGCCCAGAGACACGCAGUAGUGACAUUUGAGGGAAUGUUUUAUUUACAUUUUUGCAAAGUUGUGGUCUUUCUCUAUGAGUAAUUUUCUCUUCUGCCUUUUUACCCUGGAAGUACUUUAUUUUCAAUGUUGUGUAUGCCCUUAAGCAGUGUGGCAACAGGACUUGAAUGCCUGCACGAGAAUUUUCAAGUGCUAUGCCCCAGUGUCCUGAACCAGCUCCCUGUGGCUGUCUGGGGAAGCUGUUGCCAGCUUUGUUCUUAUGGCUUGGAACUGGCUUCAGCGACGAGGAGCUGGAGGAGCAUCACCAGAGCCUCAAGGCCCUGGUGCUGCCCAGCCCCCGCCCUUAUGUGCGGAUAGAUGGUGCCGUGACUCCCGACCACUGGCUGGACCCCAGCGCCGUGUGGGAGGUGAAGUGUGCCGACCUCUCCCUCUCCCCCAUCUACCCUGCUGCGCGGGGCCUGGUGGAUAGUGACAAGGGGAUCUCCCUUCGCUUCCCUCGGUUUAUUCGAGUCCGUGAAGACAAGCAGCCGGAGCAGGCCACCACCAGUGCACAGGUGGCCUGUUUGUACCGGAAGCAAAGUCAGAUUCAGAACCAACAAGGCGAGGACUCAGGCUCUGACCCUGAAGAUACCUACUAAGUCCUUGCCCUCCUAGGGCCUGGGUACAGGGCAUGAGUUGGACGGAACCCAGGGUUAUUAUUGCCUUUGCUCUUUAGCAAAUCUGCUGUGGCAGGCUAUGGUUUUUGAGAGUCAGGGGAGGGGUGUGUGUGUGAGGGGGGUGGCUUACACCGGAGUCUGGGAUUCAUCCCAUCAUUUCUUUCAAUAAAUAAUUAUCGGAUA